GCCAGAUUCUUGGGCAAAGUUGUUUUAGCGAUCUGGUUGCAACUAAGUAUUGGAGUUGUUGUGCCUUGAAGCUAGAAACUGCCUUGAAUUUCUACAUAGGGAAAUGUAAUCUAUUGCUUUCUUACAGAUUGCCAUUUGCCAGCUGACCUGUGACACAGCAGCAGUGUAUUACAUUUUCAAUGAGCAGUCUGUCUGGAGCUGCUAGUGGGAGAAACUGCUUCCUGGUUUCUAGGGGAGGCAGAUGAUGAAUAAAUGAACAAAAAAUAUAAUAAUGGAUAUGUAUUUAUAAGUGCUAUGAAGAGAAGAAAUCCAAGCAAGAAGAGAGUGAAAUGAGGUAGGUGGAUUUAGGAUAAGGUAGGGUAUUCUGAGAAAACUUCUCUGAGGACAUGAUGUUUCUGAGGACAUGAUGUUUGUAAAUAGAUUUGAUUCACUAGAGAGCAUUCACAAAGAAAGUAAGAGAAAUUAGGUGGCAGAAGGAGCCAGGGAACCAAACCUGUAAGUUUUUGCAGACCAUGGUAUGACAGGAAGCCAAUUCAGGUUUUUGGCAUAAGUAUGGUGUUGUUAGCUCUUCAAAAUACAUCCAAAAAAUUCCGAUCACUUCCAGUUUGAUAUUCUGAUCUAGACCAUUGUGGAAUCUUGGUUGAACUCUUUCAAAAGUCACUGGUCUCUCUAAUUGUACUUGUGUUCCUCUACAGUCAAUUCAAUACACAAAAAAACAGUGAUACUUUUAAAACAUCGAUAAGGCUGGGCACGGUGGUUCACGUCUAUAAUCCCAGCACUUCAGGAGGCCGAGGCAGGUGGAUCAGAAGGUCAGCAGUUUGAGACCAGCCUGGGCAUUAUGGUGAAACCACGCCCCUACUAAAAAUAUACAGAUUAGCCAGGUGUGAUGGCGCAUGCCUGCAGUCCCAGCUACUUGGGAGGCUGAGGCAGGAGAAUCGCUUGAUCCCGGGAGGCAGAGGUUGCAGUGAGCCAAGAUCGCACCAUUACACUCCAGCCUGCCUGACAGAGCGAGACCCGGUCUCAAAAAACAAAAAACAAAACAAAACAAAAACACACAGAUAAGAUCCUGUUACUCCUUUGCUCAAAAUCAUUCAGUGAUUUCCCUUGUCUCUAAGUAAAACUUUUCAAUGGUGCACAAGGUUCCACUUCACUAAUCCCUCUCUGCUCCUCACUUUAUCUCUCAGCACAUAUCUUUCUGGUUUUCUGUCCCAGAAUUCACAAACACAUUCUUGUCUUUGGGACUCUGUGUGUGCUUUUCUCUCAGUUUGUGUUGACUUUUUCCUAGAAAGGCAUACUUCUGCUCAAACAUCCUUCAUUACUUUGCCCCGGUUAUGUGAAUCCUUCCCUGAUUAUGCUCUAUAAAACAACCUCACGCCCUUCUGCAGCACUCUUUAAUUCAUUUGCCAUCAUUUUUUUCUUCAUAACAUAAUACGAUUUGACAAGUUAUUUUAUACUUAUACAUACUAUAUUAGCUCAGGCUGCUAUAACAACAUGCCAUAGACUAAAUGCCUUAAACAACAGCUAAUUUCUCUCAGUCCUGGAGGCUGUGCAGUCCAGGAUUAAGAAGCUGGCUGAUUCAGUUCCUGGUGCAGGCUGUCUUUCUGGUUUUUGGACAGACAUCUCACUGCAUCCUCACGUGGUAGAAAAAGAACUCUGGUCUUUCUCCUUUUACCUAUAAAGGCACUAAUCCCGUCAUGAGGGCCACACCCUUCAACCCUUAUGAACUUAUGUAAACCUAAUUAUCUCCCAAUAGUUCCAUCUCUGAAUAUCAUCACAUUGGGAGGGUUAGGGUUUCAACAUUUGAAUUUUGGGAAAACACAAUUUAGCCCAUAGCAAUCAUCUACUCAGAAAUUUUAAACCCUAUGUGUGAAUCCCUAUAUUAAGCAUUUUGAGGGUUUUAUUAUCAAAAGAAGAGAUUAAGAGUAUUGUCCAGCUUCUAGUACAAUGCAGUACACUACAAAGAGUAUGAUCAAAAUUUAGCACUAUUAUACGAAUAUCUUUUUAAGGAGAAAAAAGAUAUUAAGUGUAGUUCUAAGUUAGAAAUUAAAAUCUAACAUGAAGGCGUCUUUUUUCUCAUGGCAAUUAUUAUUUGUCUUAUUUUUGUUAAGAAACUUACCUCAGGAUUAAUUUUGAAAAAAAUAUGCAGUUGAAUUUUCUCAGAAAGAGAUUUCUAGUAUAUGAGCUAUGUGACAAGAGAUAGUGACAUAUAAAAGAAUGCCAUUCUAGUUCAUAUUUUAUUCUGGGAGAUUAAUCAGUACAAAGACUUCAAUGAGGAGAUUGGAAGAAAAUCAGUAGUGUUGUUUUACCUCUAGUCAACAAACACAAAUUGAACAAAUCCAAAGUUACCCUUUUUUUCUCACAUGUUUGUCUGGCCAAUUACCAAACGCAAAGGCCAUAUUCAGUAUCCUCAUAUAUAUUUUCAAUUUUAAGAAAAAAAAUUUUAAUGGCCCUGACAGGGACAGUAAUUAAUUUAUUUCAUGUGUGAAAUCUGUUA
rnacentral:lncRNA from 10 species